AGCAAAUCUGGCAUACAACAAUGUGAUAUUGGUCCCAAACAAUUCCUUAUUUACGAUCACAGUUUUCGUCUCAUCACCUGAUGUACUUUCAAGUUUCAGCUGUAAAACAAAGAGUAUCGCAUGAAAGCAAACUCAUACUGGAGCAUGCCAUUUGGCACCUUUUCUGUUUUCUUUUCGUAAGCAAGAAGGAGAUACAGAUUGGAGCAGAACAGGUUCAUUGAUGUUCCUUUUGAUUUGUAACUCUCAAAACUAUCUACCAUAUAUUGAGAAUUCUGGAAGCCAAAAGUUUGCUUUCAGAUAUUGAGAAACAAAGAAAAGAAAAAAAGAGGCCAUUUUAUGUUGCAUAAAUUUUUGAAGCUAAAAUGAAGGACGGUUGAUCUGGGCUUUGACCGAGUAGUGGUGGCUUCAUGGUGGGUCCUCUUGCCUGGUGAAUAACCCAUGUUUAUCUACCAAGCUUGCAUGUUUAUCAAUACGAUUGUUCAGUCGCUUUCAGUGAACAGAUUGAUUAGUUGCAGGCACCUGUGGAUCCCUUAUGUAGCGCUGUUCUCUGCUGCACAUAUUCAGGUAUAACUACAACCGAGUGAGCGGAAAUUAUCAUCUGCUUCUGCACAAUUAUAACUGAUUGAGUUGAAAUUAUUUGCAAGCAUAAUAAUAUGAGCUGCAUCUGCACAUACCAAGCGUUCGACCUCUUUCAUCUUAAAGAUUCUUGUCAAUUAGCUUGGCACGAAGAGAAAGAGCUUUACCCUCGAAAUGAUUCAGCUUACAAUCUCUUUUUAUCUUAGAGAUUCUUGCAGACUCUCUUGAAGAUACUUACUGUGGGUGUACCAUUCUGCUGGUUCAAGCAUUAUCUCAAACAGGAUGGCAAAUGUCACAGGAUUUCACGAGUGUCAAGUGACAUGGAGAUCACCAUCAAAGGAAGACUGCAUGAAUCUCAUGGAUAUAUAUCUUGGAGAUUUGAGAUCGGUGAAGGUAGAGUCAAACUCCACUAUGAUACCACAAGCAGUGCAAGAUAUAUGUGCUUUCAACAACACAUAAGCAUUUGAGGUAUGAAAUUUAGGCCCUUGGAUCAGUCAUCUCUGCACAUAAUUGCAUCUUCUGUACACUCUUCCUUGGGGAUUAUGUAUUUAAUUAGAAAAGGCUGCUGCACAUGCAUUUGAUACUGC